GUAACUAAGACUAUGUAUGCCUUGCAGCC
rnacentral:piRNA from 1 species